CCCAGAAUUCAGACAGAGAGUACAUGGACAAGAGUUCAAUUUAAGCCAGAUGCAGCCAUCAGGACCAGCAGCUGUUGCUUAAGCAGAGAGCAGGGCAGGGGAGCACAGAACCACACCUUCUCAUCUCUUUGGGUGCAGCAAGAAUUGGUAUCUUGUAGGGUCAACGGUGUCUGAAGAGGAAGCGGAUGAGAGGAGAACAAGAAUGCAUGUGAAACUAUCUGGAGGAAAGGAUCCAAAUGGAAGGAGUCAGAAGUUACGAAAGGUGAACAUGUCAAGAGCAAGAUCAGCAAAAGUUUUGGAAGUGGAAAGCUGAAUGCACCAAAGGAAGACUUUUUGUCCCAGCUACUUUUAUACAAUAGAU